GGUCCCAGGCGCUGGCACCCGCAAACGUCGCUGAGCAGCCCCUGCUCCGCGGCCGGAUUUGUGCCUACGCACAAACAGUCCUGCAGGGGUGGCCGGUCUUUUCAACGCGCUGUGCCCGUUUUUUAAUCCAUCCCUGUGUAGCCAUGGCGGUUAAUCGUUUUUUUAUUUUGCCAGGCAAGUAUGUUUCCAGCUGCUGAUUUUACCCAGUUGAGUAUCUGCAGCGUAGGCUGCUAAAUAAAGCACGAGAAGAGGAGGAAGAACAAUAAAGCAGCAACAACACAUUUCAAAAGAGCAGGCACUUGUAGAAUCAGGGAGCAAUGCCGAAGCCACCAGGAUCUAACCCAGCUGAGAUCUUCUCCAUCCAGAUGAGUCCCUGUGUAUCUGAGAUGCUGGUGGCGUGGUGCCUAGCUUUGUGCUGAAGUAGAGAGCUCUGAUGCUGAAGAAUAAUCAUUUUGGACUGCAGCCCUGACUGAAGGUCUGAAUGAAACAGAUGUCAUCCUUCCAGACAAAACAAGAACCCGCACACUGUCCUUUGCACCUCUGAGGUGGAUGCUUCUAAUAUGGAAGGAACAUCAUGCAGUCCACAAGAACAACAGCUCUGUCCAUUGGCAAAAUGGGCAUCACGGAAUUCAGCAGAGAAGCCAUUCUAUAUGGACUGAGAGUUAGUGUACAAAGUUUCCUGAUGGAAUUUAACAUUCAGUUCCUAUAAAGAAGAAAAUGGGCAACAUGGAGCAUCUCUAAUUCAUCUCCUGAAGAGCUUGGAAGAAACUCAUUUACUUUUCAGUACCUCUAACUGAAAAGUAU
rnacentral:lncRNA from 1 species